rnacentral:rRNA from 1 species
UCCUACGGGAGGCAGCAGUGGGGAAUAUUGGACAAUGGGCGAAAGCCUGAUCCAGCCAUGCCGCGUGUGUGAAGAAGGUCUUCGGAUUGUAAAGCACUUUAAGUUGGGAGGAAGGGCAGUAAAUUAAUACUUUGCUGUUUUGACGUUACCGACAGAAUAAGCACCGGCUAACUCUGUGCCAGCAGCCGCGGUA